UACGGAGGGUGCAAGCGUUAUCCGGAUUUAUUGGGUUUAAAGGGUCCGUAGGCGGAUCUGUAAGUCAGUGGUGAAAUCUCACAGCUUAACUGUGAAACUGCCAUUGAUACUGCAGGUCUUGAGUGUUAUUGAAGUAGCUGGAAUAAGUAGUGUAGCGGUGAAAUGCAUAGAUAUUACUUAGAACACCAAUUGCGAAGGCAGGUUACUAAGCAACAACUGACGCUGAUGGACGAAAGCGUGGGGAGCGAGCAGG
rnacentral:rRNA from 1 species